AUAAGCGCACACGGUGGAUGCCUUGGCGGUCAGAGGCGAUGAAGGACGUGGCAGCCUGCGAAAAGUAUCGGGGAGCUGGCAACAAGCUUUGAUCCGGUAAUGUCCGAAUGGGGAAACCCACCCGCUUGCGGGUAUCCUGCAGUGAAUACAUAGCUGCUGGAAGCGAACCUGGUGAACUGAAAUAUCUAAGUAACCAGAGGAAAAGAAAUCAACCGAGAUUCCGUAAGUAGCGACGAGCGAACGCGGACUAGCCCUUAAGCUGAUUUGGUUCUAGGAAAACGCUCUGGAAAGAGCGGCCAUAGAAGGUGAUAGCCCUGUAUCUGAAAGGGCCAUUUCAGUGAAGACGAGUAGGGCGGGGCACGUGAAACCCUGUCUGAACAUGGGGGGACCAUCCUCCAAGGCUAAAUACUACUGACCGACCGAUAGUGAACCAGUACCGUGAGGGAAAGGCGAAAAGAACCCCGGAGAGGGGAGUGAAAUAGAACCUGAAACCGUGUGCGUACAAGCAGUAGGAGCUCCGCAAGGAGUGACUGCGUACCUUUUGUAUAAUGGGUCAGCGACUUACUGUUCGUGGCAAGCUUAACCGUAUAGGGGAGGCGAAGGGAAACCGAGUCUGAUAAGGGCGCAUAGUCGCGGGCAGUAGACCCGAAACCGGGUGAUCUAGUCAUGCCCAGGGUGAAGGUGCGGUAACACGCACUGGAGGCCCGAACCCACUCCCGUUGCAAAGGUAGGGGAUGAGGUGUGAUUAGGAGUGAAAAGCUAAUCGAACCCGGAGAUAGCUGGUUCUCCUCGAAAGCUAUUUAGGUAGCGCCUCAUAUGUAUCCUCUCGGGGGUAGAGCACUGUUAUGGCUAGGGGGUCAUCGCGACUUACCAAACCAUUGCAAACUCCGAAUACCGAGACGGACUGUAUGGGAGACACACGGCGGGUGCUAACGUCCGUCGUGAAAAGGGAAACAACCCAGACCCACAGCUAAGGUCCCAAAUUCACUGCUAAGUGGAAAACCAUGUGGAAAGGCACAGACAGCCAGGAGGUUGGCUUAGAAGCAGCCACCCUUUAAAGAAAGCGUAAUAGCUCACUGGUCGAGUCGGUCUGCGGGGAAGAUUUAACGGGGCUAAGCAGUGAACCGAAGCUUGGGGUGCAUACUUUGUAUGCGCGGUAGAGGAGCGUUCCGUAAGCCGUUGAAGGUGGAUUGAGAAGUCUGCUGGAGGUAUCGGAAGUGCGAAUGCUGACAUGAGUAACGAUAAUGCGGGUGAAAAACCCGCACGCCGAAAGCCCAAGGUUUCCUUGCGCAACGUUAAUCGGCGCAGGGUGAGUCGGCCCCUAAGGCGAGGACGAAAGUCGUAGUCGAUGGGAAGCAGGUUAAUAUUCCUGCACCUCGCGUAAGUGCGAUGGAGGGACGGAGAAGGUUAGGUGUACCAGGCGUUGGUUGUCCUGGGGAAAGGCGGUAGGUUUGGAUCUUUGGCAAAUCCGGGAUCCUUUAAGACCGAGCACCGAGACGAGCCUUUAUGGCGAAGUCACUGAUACCACGCUUCCAGGAAAAGCUCCUAAGCUUCAGCUUACGCAGACCGUACCGUAAACCGACACAGGUGGGUAGGAUGAGAAUUCUCAGGCGCUUGAGAGAACUCGGGUGAAGGAACUAGGCAACAUGGCACCGUAACUUCGGGAGAAGGUGCACCCUUUUUGGUGGCUCGUGCGAGCUAUAGCUGAAGAGGGUCGCAGUAACCAGGCCGCUGCGACUGUUUAUCAAAAACACAGCACUCUGCAAACACGAAAGUGGACGUAUAGGGUGUGACGCCUGCCCGGUGCUGGAAGGUUAAUUGAUGGGGUCAGCCGCAAGGCGAAGCUCUUGAUCGAAGCCCCAGUAAACGGCGGCCGUAACUAUAACGGUCCUAAGGUAGCGAAAUUCCUUGUCGGGUAAGUUCCGACCUGCACGAAUGGCGUAACGACAGCGGCGCUGUCUCCACCCGAGACUCAGUGAAAUUGAAAUCGCUGUGAAGAUGCAGCGUUCCCGUGGCAAGACGGAAAGACCCCGUGAACCUUUACUAUAGCUUUACACUGAACGUUGAGUUCGUCUGUGUAGGAUAGGUGGGAGGCUAUGAAACUGUGGCGCUAGCUGCAGUGGAGCCAUCCUUGAAAUACCACCCUGUCGUGCUUGACGUUCUAACCUGGGCCCAUUAUCUGGGUCGGGGACCGUGUAUGGUGGGUAGUUUGACUGGGGCGGUCUCCUCCUAAAGAGUAACGGAGGAGCUCGAAGGUACGCUCAGCGCGGUCGGACAUCGCGCACUGUGUGCAAAGGCAUAAGCGUGCUUGACUGCAAGAUCGACGGAUCAAGCAGGUAGGAAACUAGGACUUAGUGAUCCGGUGGUUCUGUAUGGAAGGGCCAUCGCUCAACGGAUAAAAGGUACUCCGGGGAUAACAGGCUGAUACCGCCCAAGAGUUCAUAUCGACGGCGGUGUUUGGCACCUCGAUGUCGGCUCAUCACAUCCUGGGGCUGUAGUCGGUCCCAAGGGUAUGGCUGUUCGCCAUUUAAAGUGGUACGCGAGCUGGGUUCAGAACGUCGUGAGACAGUUCGGUCCCUAUCUGCCAUGGGCGUUGGAGAUUUGAGAGGGGCUGCUCCUAGUACGAGAGGACCGGAGUGGACGAACCUCUGGUGUUCCGGUUGUCACGCCAGUGGCAUUGCCGGGUAGCUAUGUUCGGAAGCGAUAACCGCUGAAAGCAUCUAAGCGGGAAGCGCGCCUCAAGAUGAGAUCUCCCGGGGCACAAGCCCCCUGAAGGAACCAUGUAGACUACGUGGUUGAUAGGUCAGGUGUGUAAGUACAGCAAUGUAUUGAGCUAACUGAUACUAAUGAUCCGAGAGGCUUGACC
rnacentral:rRNA from 1 species